GCAGCUGAUGCAGCAGCUAGCUUAGUAAGCUGCAAUAACCCCUUUUUCGUGUCAAUCUAACCAAAACCAAGGCAUGAAUAGGACGCCAACAUGAUGUACUUCACUCCCACCUCAUGCUUUGCUUGAUAAAAACUUAAAACACAGCUGCCCAGAAGCACACACCACACUCUCUCCAUCUCGCCAGAACCUGCGUCCCUGCCCCUAGGUGAGUCUCUUCAGUUUUUCUUAAAUUUUCUCUUCCUUUAAGCUAGGUUUUCUUACAUAUUAUUGUUAUACACUUGAAUACCCAGAACCUAAGGUCUUUGUUCGUGCUUUAGAGCCAUUAGAAGUUGGUGUUAAAGCCCCUAAUAAGUCAGUAUUUCAAGAUACACCAGUAGUUGGACUAGUUAAGGAGCUUUAAUCAAGGUUUAAGCUAGGAUUUCUAAGUAGUUCCUGAUGAUGCAGGUUUCUAAAGACGUUAUGAUCGUGUCUCUGCUUUUGCUGUGCUCAAGUGAUGAC